rnacentral:rRNA from 1 species
CAUCCAGAUAGCCAUGCAUGUCUCAGUGCAAGCCGUAUUAAGGCGAUACCGCGAAUGGCUCAAUAUAUCAGUUUUGGUUCCUUAGAUCUUACUCAGUUACUUGGAUAACUGUGGUAAUUCUAGAGCUAAUACAUGCAAUAAGAACUCUGACCAGUGAUGGGAUGAGUGCUUUUAUUAGAUCAAAACCAAUCGACGGAGGGCGCCUCGUCCGAAGUCGUUAAUUUUGAUGAAUCUGGAUAACUUUUGCCGAUCGCAUGGUCCAGUACCGGCGACGCAUCUUUCAAAUGUCUGCCUUAUCAACUUUCGAUGGUAGUUUCUGCGACUACCAUGGUUGUCACGGGUAACGGGGAAUCAGGGUUCGAUUCCGGAGAGGAGCCUGAGAA